rnacentral:rRNA from 1 species
AUACGGAGGAUCCGAGCGUUAUCCGGAUUUAUUGGGUUUAAAGGGAGCGUAGGUGGAUUGUUAAGUCAGUUGUGAAAGUUUGCGGCUCAACCGUAAAAUUGCAGUUGAAACUGGCAGUCUUGAGUACAGUAGAGGUGGGCGGAAUUCGUGGUGUAGCGGUGAAAUGCUUAGAUAUCACGAAGAACUCCGAUUGCGAAGGCAGCUCACUAGACUGUUACUGACACUGAUGCUCGAAAGUGUGGGUAUCAAACAGGAUUAGAUACCCUGGUAGUCCACACAGUAAACGAUGAAUACUCGCUGUUUGCGAUAUACAGUAAGCGGCCAAGCGAAAGCAUUAAGUAUUCCACCUGGGGAGUACACCGGCAACGGUGAAACUUAAAUGAAUUGACGGGG